rnacentral:rRNA from 1 species
CAGUAGCCGCGGUAACACGUAGGCGGCAAGCGUUGUCCGGAAUUAUUGGGCGUAAAGGGCUCGCAGGCGGUUUCUUAAGUCUGAUGUGAAAGCCCCCGGCUCAACCGGGGAGGGUCAUUGGAAACUGGGAAGCUUGAGUGCAGAAGAGGAGAGUGGAAUUCCACGUGUAGCGGUGAAAUGCGUAGAGAUGUGGAGGAACACCAGUGGCGAAGGCGACUCUCUGGUCUGUAACUGACGCUGAGGAGCGAAAGCGUGGGGAGCGAACAGGAUUAGAGACCCCUGUAGUCCCUGUCUCUUAUAC